rnacentral:rRNA from 1 species
UGGCUGCAGUCGAGAAUAUUCGUCAAUGGGCGAAAGCCUGAACGAGCGACGCCGCGUGCGGGAUGAAGGCCCUUGGGUUGUAAACCGCUUUUCCUAAGGAAAAAUGUAAUGAUGGUACUUAGGGAAUAAGAGGUUACUAACUCUGUGCCAGCAGUAGCGGUAAUACAGAGACCUCAAGCGUUAUCCGGAUUUAUUGGGCGUAAAGAGCAUGUAGGCGGAGCUGUUAGUCAGAUGUCAAAUUUCCCCGCUUAACGGGGAAACUGCAUUUGAAACGGCAGCUCUUGAGAGAGCGAGAGACCAAUGGAACAUAUGGUGUAGCAGUGAAAUGCGUUGAUAUCAUAUGGAACACCGAAGGCGAAGGCAUUUGGUUGGCGCUCAUCUGACGCUGAGAUGCGAAAGCGUGGGUAGCGAAUGGGAUUAGAUACCCCGGUAGUC